CUGCUUCAUGUCGCCUGGUGUCAGCCCCUCCACCAAAAAUCAAAUACAAUAACAACAAAACAAAACACCUACACUUAAUCCGCCUCUUUACUAUUUCCCCAUCUACAAUACUCAUAUAUGUUGCUUAUUUUCGGCAUAAUUUAAAAGGGUAAUAUUGGAUCAUAGGAAAAUAUAUUUCUUUUGACAUGACUUUGUAGAAUUUUAUGCACGCCCUGGUAGAUUAUCCAGUGCUUCGAACGAUCUUGUUUAGACAGAAAUAAGUAUUUUCCAAUUUUUAGGAAGGAAGUUAUAUGGUGCUAUAUUGCUAACAUACUCUUGAUCAGAAUCCUCUUCACAGUAGUUGCAUCUCAAAUGAAUUUUGUUUUCCAUAUUUAGAAUGAUAAAACAAGAGAGAUAUUGGACCGAUCUUUUUAUGUGCGUACCGAUAUGUAUUUAAUACAGUAAAUAUUCGUGAUGUAAACAAUAUGAUUAUAAGCUCGUACGUACAAAUAGUGUGUUUAGCGUGUGUACGUGUUUAAAAAAAGAAAA
rnacentral:lncRNA from 1 species